rnacentral:lncRNA from 1 species
AGGAGCACAAUAACCUACAGAGCUGCUGGUAGAAUGCAGAGGGAACUGGAGCACUCUCCAUGACUCUUCGGCUCUGUGUCACAUGCUCAGGCACCUGCCUGCCAAUUAUGAUGGAGAAACUCCCAAACUCUGUGUUGAACCAUGGGGAUCAGGGAGUAUCCUGACAAGGACUGAGAGUUUCAAGAAGAGCCAGGCUCAAGCUUCAAGGGGACAUACGCCUGACCACCCACCAGCCAACAAUGCAACUCUGGAUACAAGUGCCUGUGCCCUUCCUCCAGUUGCUGGAUCUAUGCUCCAUCAGCUUUCAGGAGCUCCAGCUAUGAAGUCCUGGUCAAGCCAGUCAAGAAUGGUUCAAUGAUCCCAGAUCCUGACUUUUGUUUGCAACAGGUACUGGAACUUGGACCACCACCAACAGGAGCACAAGAAUCCAACCAGCUGCAGGGUGGAGAGCAGAGACAACUGGAGACUUCCCCAUAAAACUUGUACAUUCCUUCUUCAGGCUUCCAAUGCCUAAUCUGUGAUUCUAGACACAGGACAGGAGGAGACUGAGAGGUGAAUGCUGGCCAGGCCUGGGUGUUCUGCUGGGGCAGUGACCUGCAAAUGAUGUUCUGUUGACUAAGUUGUAAGCUGGUAAUUGGUGAAAUCUAAGAGGCUCUUUGAAAUGUACAGUGUGUGAAUCUGUAGC